CCUACGGGUGGCAGCAGUGGGGAAUUUUGCGCAAUGGGCGAAAGCCUGAUGCAGCAACGCCGCGUGAACGAGAAGCUCUUCGGGUAGUUAAGUUCUGUCCGUGAGGGCGAAAAAUGACGGUACCCACAGUGGAAGCCCCGGCUAACUCCGUGCCAGCAGCCGCGGUAAUACGGAGGGUGCCAGCGUUGUCCGGAAUCAUUGGGCGUAAAGAGUUCGUAGGCGGCAUGUAAAGUCAGGUGUUAAAGGCGCAGGCUCAACCUGGGUAUGGCACUUGAUAAUUGCAAGCUGGAAUGCGGUAGAGGUAAAGGGAAUUCCUGGUGUAGCGGUGAAAUGCUUAGAUAUCAGGAGGAACAUCGGUGGCGUAAGCGCUCUACUGGGCCGUAAUUGACGCUGAGGAACGAAAGCCAGGGUAGCAAAUGGGAUUAGAUACCCGGGUAGUC
rnacentral:rRNA from 1 species